rnacentral:lncRNA from 1 species
GGAGUUGUCAAAUCAACCUCAAACUCGCCCCUGCCUCUUUCAUCUUCAUGUUAUCUGAAUUGGAAACAAUGGGUGAGGAAAUGGACUCACUCGUGAUUGGUUUGAAUACUCCCUUGGAACAGAAGCCAUAGAAGUAAAUUCCUCUAGUCUAGUGACACAAGCCACGGAUAAGAAAGGUGGAUUGGGAUAAGCAUAUCAAGCCCUGAAGGAUUUGAACUUGUGAUCAAUUUCUGGGGAGAAAUGAAGAUGUGAAUUGGGG